rnacentral:rRNA from 1 species
AGCAGUCGCCGCGGUAAUACGUAGGUGGCAAGCGUUGUCCGGAAUUAUUGGGCGUAAAGGGCUCGCAGGCGGUUUCUUAAGUCUGAUGUGAAAGCCCCCGGCUCAACCGGGGAGGGUCAUUGGAAACUGGGAAACUUGAGUGCAGAAGAGGAGAGUGGAAUUCCACGUGUAGCGGUGAAAUGCGUAGAGAUGUGGAGGAACACCAGUGGCGAAGGCGACUCUCUGGUCUGUAACUGACGCUGAGGAGCGAAAGCGUGGGGAGCGAACAGGAUUAGAUACCCCGUAGUCCCUGUCUCUUAUACA